AUAAUGGGUCAGCGACUUAUAUUCUGUAGCAAGGUUAACCGAAUAGGGGAGCCGAAGGGAAACCGAGUCUUAACUGGGCGUUAAGUUGCAGGGUAUAGACCCGAAACCCGGUGAUCUAGCCAUGGGCAGGUUGAAGGUUGGGUAACACUAACUGGAGGACCGAACCGACUAAUGUUGAAAAAUUAGCGGAUGACUUGUGGCUGGGGGUGAAAGGCCAAUCAAACCGGGAGAUAGCUGGUUCUCCCCGAAAGCUAUUUAGGUAGCGCCUCGUGAAUUCAUCUCCGGGGGUAGAGCACUGUUUCGGCAAGGGGGUCAUCCCGACUUACCAACCCGAUGCAAACUGCGAAUACCGGAGAAUGUUAUCACGGGAGACACACGGCGGGUGCUAACGUCCGUCGUGAAGAGGGAAACAACCCAGACCGCCAGCUAAGGUCCCAAAGUCAUGGUUAAGUGGGAAACGAUGUGGGAAGGCCCAGACAGCCAGGAUGUUGGCUUAGAAGCAGCCAUCAUUUAAAGAAAGCGUAAUAGCUCACUGGUCGAGUCGGCCUGCGCGGAAGAUGUAACGGGGCUAAACCAUGCACCGAAGCUGCGGCAGCGACGCUUAUGCGUUGUUGGGUAGGGGAGCGUUCUGUAAGCCUGUGAAGGUGUACUGUGAGGUAUGCUGGAGGUAUCAGAAGUGCGAAUGCUGACAUAAGUAACGAUAAAGCGGGUGAAAAGCCCGCUCGCCGGAAGACCAAGGGUUCCUGUCCAACGUUAAUCGGGGCAGGGUGAGUCGACCCCUAAGGCGAGGCCGAAAGGCGUAGUCGAUGGGAAACAGGUUAAUAUUCCUGUACUUGGUGUUACUGCGAAGGGGGGACGGAGAAGGCUAUGUUGGCCGGGCGACGGUUGUCCCGGUUUAAGCGUGUAGGCUGGUUUUCCAGGCAAAUCCGGAAAAUCAAGGCUGAGGCGUGAUGACGAGGCACUACGGUGCUGAAGCAACAAAUGCCCUGCUUCCAGGAAAAGCCUCUAAGCAUCAGGUAACAUCAAAUCGUACCCCAAACCGACACAGGUGGUCAGGUAGAGAAUACCAAGGCGCUUGAGAGAACUCGGGUGAAGGAACUAGGCAAAAUGGUGCCGUAACUUCGGGAGAAGGCACGCUGAUAUGUAGGUGAAGCGACUUGCUCGUGGAGCUGAAAUCAGUCGAAGAUACCAGCUGGCUGCAACUGUUUAUUAAAAACACAGCACUGUGCAAACACGAAAGUGGACGUAUACGGUGUGACGCCUGCCCGGUGC
rnacentral:rRNA from 1 species